rnacentral:rRNA from 1 species
GAUGAACGCUGGCGGCGUGCCUAAUACAUGCAAGUCGAGCGAACAGACGAGGAGCUUGCUCCUCUGAUGUUAGCGGCGGACGGGUGAGUAACACGUGGAUAACCUACCUAUAAGACUGGGAUAACUUCGGGAAACCGGAGCUAAUACCGGAUAACAUGUUGAACCGCAUGGUUCAACAGUGAAAGACGGUCUUGCUGUCACUUAUAGAUGGAUCCGCGCCGCAUUAGCUAGUUGGUAAGGUAACGGCUUACCAAGGCAACGAUGCGUAGCCGACCUGAGAGGGUGAUCGGCCACACUGGAACUGAGACACGGUCCAGACUCCUACGGGAGGCAGCAGUAGGGAAUCUUCCGCAAUGGGCGAAAGCCUGACGGAGCAACGCCGCGUGAGUGAAGAGGGUCUUCGGAUCGUAAAACUCUGUUAUUAGGGAAGAACAAAUGUGUAAGUAACUAUGCACGUCUUGACGGUACCUAAUCAGAAAGCCACGGCUAACUACGUG